GACGAACGCUGGCGGCGUGCUUAACACAUGCAAGUCGAACGGAAAGACCCUGCUUUUGUGGGGUGCUCGAGUGGCGAACGGGUGAGUAACACGUGAGUAACCUGCCCUUGACUUUGGGAUAACUUCAGGAAACUGGGGCUCAUACCGGAUAGGAGCUCCUGCUGCAUGGUGGGGGUUGGAAAGUUUCGGCGGUUGGGGAUGGACUCGCGGCUUAUCAGCUUGUUGGUGGGGUAGUGGCUUACCAAGGCUUUGACGGGUAGCCGGCCUGAGAGGGUGACCGGCCACAUUGGGACUGAGAGACGGCCCAGACUCCUACGGGAGGCAGCAGUGGGGAAUAUUGCACAAUGGGCGGAAGCCUGAUGCAGCAACGCCGCGUGCGGGAUGACGGCCUUCGGGUUGUAAACCGAUUUCGCCGGUGACGAAGCGUGAGUGACGGUAAUGGGUAAAGAAGCACCGGCUAACUACGUG
rnacentral:rRNA from 1 species